rnacentral:tRNA from 1 species
UCCCUGGUGGUCUAGUGGCUAAAACUCUGUGCUCCCAACGCCAGGGGCCUAGGUUUGAUCCCUGGUCAGGGAA